GUACUUGCUUUAGCAGUACAUAUACAAAAAUUGGAACAAUACAGAGAUUGGCAUUGCCCCUGUGCAAAGAUGACAUGCAAAUUUGUGAAGUGUUCCAUGUUUAA